rnacentral:rRNA from 1 species
AUUGAACGCUGGCGGCAGGCCUAACACAUGCAAGUCGAACGAGUGGCGGACGGGUGAGUAAUUUCUGGGAAACUGCCUGAUGGAGGGGGAUAACUACUGGAAACGUUAGCUACUACCGCAUACCCUCCGUUCUGCCCAUGUGGGAGUAGCUAGUUGGGGGGGUAACGGCUCACCAAGGCGACGAUCCCUAGCUGGUCUGAGAGGAUGACCAGCAACACUGGAACUGAGACACGGGCCAGACUCCUACGGGAGGCAGCAGUGGGGAAUAUUGCACAAUGGGCGAAAGCCUGAUGCAGCCAUGCCGCGUGUAUGAAGAAGGCCUUCGGGUUGUAAAGUACUGUCAGUGGGGAGGCGUUACCCGCAGAAGAAGCACCGGCUAACUCCGUGCCAGCAGCCGCGGUAAUUC